UACGUAGGGUGCGAGCGUUGUCCGGAAUUAUUGGGGCGUAAAGGGCUCGUAGGCGGUUUGUCACGUCGGGAGUGAAAACUCAGGGCUUAACCCUGAGCCUGCUUCCGAUACGGGCAGACUAGAGGUAUGCAGGGGAGAAUGGAAUUCCUGGUGUAGCGGUGAAAUGCGCAGAUAUCAGGAGGAACACCGGUGGCGAAGGCGGUUCUCUGGGCAUUACCUGACGCUGAGGAGCGAAAGUGUGGGGAGCGAACAGG
rnacentral:rRNA from 1 species